rnacentral:tRNA from 1 species
AUGGGGGCGGUGAAGGGAAAGCUCCCAUUGGUAGAAAAAAACCCACAACCCCUUGGUGUUAUCCUGCGCUUGGAAGAAGAACUAGGAAAAGGAAAAAAUAUAGCGAUAGUUUUAUUCUUCGUCACCGUAAGUAAAUACGUAACUAGGAAUAUGGAAAAUUGCAUUUUUGGAAUUUGCAAUAAUGCGAUGGGCGAACGACGGGAAUUGAACCCGCGCAUGGUGGAUUCACAAUCCACUGCCUUGAUCCACUUGGCUACAUCCGCCCCUUAUCCAGCUAAAGGAUUUUUUUCUUUUUUCCAUUGA